CCUACGGGAGGCAGCAGUAGGGAAUAUUGCUCAAUGGGGGAAACCCUGAAGCAGCAACGCCGCGUGGAGGAUGAAGGUUUUCGGAUUGUAAACUCCUUUUGUUAGAGAAGCUAAUGACGGUACCUAACGAAUAAGCACCGGCUAAGUCCGUGCCCGCAGCCGCGGUAAUAUGGAGGGUGCAAGCGUUACUCGGAAUCACUGGGCGUAAAGAGCGUGUAGGCGGGAUAGCAAGUCAGAUGUGAAAUCCUAUGGCUUAACCAUAGAACUGCAGUUGAAACUGUUAUUCUAGAGUAUGGGAGAGGGAGGUGGAAUUCUUGGUGUAGGGGUAAAAUCCGUAGAGAUCAAGAGGAAUACUCAUUGCGAAGGCGACCUGCUAGAACAUAACUGACGCUGAUGCGCGAAAGCGUGGGGAGCGAACAGGAUUAGAUACCCCUGUAGUC
rnacentral:rRNA from 1 species